rnacentral:lncRNA from 1 species
GGGGUGGAAAAGGGGACUUCGGUACUCUACAUAACGGAAUGAAACGUUGAGUGAACUGAACGCGCCCCGGUUUCUCCCCGUCUGAAUGAGGAAGUCCGGAGGGGUGGGUGCGACACCGUAUAUAUAAUCGCGCGCCUUCUCUUCCUCCCGCUUCACUCCCCGGUCCCUGCGAGCCGCUCAGUUUAUAGGUGUAUAUAUUCAUCAGUGCAGUUGAAUCAUGGCGUGGGAUGGUUAUAUAACCAAUCUGAUGGCGGGAACACCUCCCUUCGUGCAAGAGGCAGCGAUCUGUGGGUCUGAGGCGGGGAAAGAGUCGGUCUGGGCAGCAACACCCGGAGGUCAACUGGCCGGUGUGACAGCUGCGGAGAUCAAGGCGAUGAUGUCAUUGGAUCGUUCUCCUCUCUUCGCCAGUGGUCUUCAUCUCAGCGGGAACAAGUGUACUGUCCUGAGAGAUAAUCUGCACACCGAAGGGGACCACACUUUAGAUGUUAAGAUGAGGCCCACUGCUACUGAUACCAACUCCUACAGCAUCACCAUCGCUAAGAGUGGCCAGACUCUGAUCAUUGUUAAAGGGAUGAAGGACAUUCCUGGAGGGAAGAUCAACAUAAAGGCCUCCGACAUGAUGCAGUACCUGAGGAAGAGUGGCUUCUAACGCUUGACCCUUGACCCCGACACCCCCCUUAGAUGCUGGUCUUGGUUCAGUUUAGCGUUCCCCCACUACUGGUUCGGAUUGGGGGAAGGGAAGCUCAUCUGUGCCUCGUGGAAUGUCAUCCCAGCAGCCUCAGUGCCUUCUUGUUUUUGAUGAUGAUGAUGAUGAUGAUGAUAUGCAAAUGAUCAAACAUGUCAAAUUAUCAUAGUGGCAAAUAAACAGAUUUAUUCUAAGAAAAUAUUUAUUUUGACUGCUGAUUUAAUUAUUUAUUGAGGAGAAUGUAGUUAAAUUACUAAAAUGUUAAUGGUAAGUGUGUGUUUAUCUGUUUAUCUCUGUUUAUCUCUCUCUGUCUCUCUGUUUUAUCUCUCUCUCUGUUUAUAUCUCUCUGUUUAUAUCUCUCUGUUUAUCUCUCUCUGUUUAUCUCUCUCUCUGUUUAUCUCUGUCUCUCUCUCUGUUUAUCUCUCUCUCUGUUUAUCUCUCUCUCUCUCUGUUUAUCUCUCUCUCUCUCUCUCUCUGUUUAUCUCUCUCUCUCUCUCUCUGUUUAUCUCUGUCUCUCUCUCUGUUUAUCUCUCUCUCUGUUUAUCUCUCUCUCUCUCUGUUUAUCUCUCUCUCUGUUUAUCUCUCUCUCUGUUUAUCUCUCUCUCUCUCUCUGUUUAUCUCUCUCUCUCUCUCUCUGUUUAUCUCUCUCUCUCUCUCUCUGUUUAUCUCUCUGUCUCUGUCUUUCGCUAUAUCCAUAUGUAUUACCAGGUCACGCUGCAGUGUUCACCCUGAGGGCUGUUAACCAACUCAACAGUUACAUAUGUACAACUAACUACUUACAGCGCAUUCGGAAAGUAUUCAGACCUCUUGACUUUUCCAGAUUUUGUUACGUUACAGCCUUAUUUUAAAAUGGAUUAAAUCGUUUUCCCCCCCUCAUCUGUCUACACUCAAUACUACACUCAGUCUACACUCCAAUUUUUUUGCGAAUGUAUUAAAUAAAAACGGAAAUAUCACAUUUACAUAAGUAUUCAGGCCCUUUACUCAGUACUUUGUUGAAGCACCUUUGGCAGCGAUUACAGCGUUGAGUCUUCUUGGGUAUGACGCUACAAGCUUGGUACACCUGUAUUUGGGGAGUUUCUCCCAUUCUUCUCUGCAGAUCCUCUCAAGCUCUAUCAGGUUGGAUGGGGAGCGUCGCUGCACAGCUAUUUUCAGUUCUCUCCAGAGAUGUUAGAUCAGGUUCAAGUCCGAGCUCUGGCCGGGCCACUCAAGGACAUUCAGAGACUUGUCCCGAAGCCACUCCUGCGUUGUCUUGGCUGUGUGCUUAGGGUCGUUGUCCUGUUGGGAAGUUGAACCUUCACCCCAGUCUGAGGUCCUGAGUGCUCUGGAGCAGGUUUUCAUCAAGUAUCUCUUUACUUUGCUCUGUUCAUCUUUCCCUCGAUCCUGACUAGUCUCCCAGUCCCUGCAGCUGAAAAACAUCACCACAGCAUGAUGCUGCCACCACCAUGCUUCACCGUAGGGAUGGUGCCAGGUUUCCUCCAGACGUGACGCUUGGCAUUCAGGCCAAAUAGUUCAAUCUUGGUUUCAUCAGACCAGAGAAUCUUGUUUCUCAUGGUCUGAGAGUCCUUUAGGUGCCUUUUGGCAAACUCCAAGUGAGCUGUCAUGUGCCUUUUACUGAGGAGUGGCUUCCGUCUGGCCACUCUACCAUAAAAGCCUGAUUGGUGGAGUGAUGCAGAGAUGGUUGUCCUUCUGGAAGGUUCUCCCAUCUCCACAGAGGAACUCUGGAGCUCUGUCAGAGUGACCAUAUCGGGUUCUUGGUCACCUCCCUGACCAAGGCCCUUCUCCACCGAUUGGUCAGUUUGGCCGGGCGGCCAGCUCUAGGAAGAGUCUUGGUGGUUCCAAACUUCUUCCAUUUAAGAAUGAUGGAGGACAAUAUGUUCUUGGGGACCUUCAAUGCUGCAGAAAUGUUUUGGUACCCUUCCCCAGAUCUGUGCCUCGACACAAUCCUGUCUCGGAGCUCUAUGGACAAUUCCUUCGACAUCAUUGCCUGGUUUUUUGCUCUGACAUGCACUGUCAACUGUGGGACCUUAUAUAGACAGGUGUGUGCUUUUCCAAAUCAUGUCCAAUCAAUUGAAUUUACCACAGGUGGACUCCAAUCAAGUUGUAGAAACAUCUGAAGGAUGAUCAAUGGAAACAGGAUGCACCUGAGCUCAAUUUCGAGUCUCAUAGCAAAGGGUCUGAAUACUUAUGUAAAUAAAGUACUUAUGUUUUUGUUUUUAAUACAUUUGCAAACAUUUAUAAAAACCUGUUUUUGCUUUGUCAUUAUGGGGUAUUGUGAUGUCAUUAUGUUGUAUUGUUUGUAGAUUGGUGAGGAAAAACAUUAACUUAAUCCAUGUUAGAAUAAGGCUGUAACGUAACACUCUCUCUGUCUGUACCCAUUCACACUCUCUCUGUCUGUACCCAUUCACACUCUCUCUGUCUGUACCCAUUCACACUCUCUCUGUCUGUACCCAUUCACACUCUCUCUGUCUGUACCCAUUCACACUCUCUCUGUCUGUAACUAACUACGUAUAUCUAAACUCAGCAACAAAAUAAACGUCCUCUCACUGUCAACUGUGUUUAUUUUCAUCAAACUGAAC